AGAGUUUGAUCCUGGCUCAGAACGAACGCUGGCGGCAGGCCUAACACAUGCAAGUCGAGCGCUGUAGCAAUACAGAGCGGCGCACGGGUGAGUAACACGUGGGAAUAUGCCUAUCGGUACGGAAUAACGCAGGGAAACUUGCGCUAAUACCGCAUACGCCCUUACGGGGAAAGAUUUAUCGCCGAUAGAGUAGCCCGCGUAGGAUUAGCUAGUUGGUGAGGUAAUGGCUCACCAAGGCAACGAUCCUUAGCUGGUUUGAGAGAACGAUCAGCCACACUGGGACUGAGACACGGCCCAGACUCCUACGGGAGGCAGCAGUGGGGAAUCUUGGACAAUGGGGGAAACCCUGAUCCAGCCAUGCCGCGUGAGUGAUGAAGGCCUUAGGGUUGUAAAACUCUUUCGCACGCGACGAUAAUGACGGUAGCGUGAGAAGAAGCUCCGGCUAACUUCGUGCCAGCAGCCGCGGUAAUACGAAGGGGGCUAGCGUUGUUCGGAAUUACUGGGCGUAAAGCGCGCGCAGGCGGUCUCACAAGUCAGAGGUGAAAGCCCAGGGCUCAACCCUGGAACUGCCUUUGAAACUGUGAGACUAGGGUAUGGGAGAGGUUGAGCGGAAUUCCGAGUGUAAGGGAAAUUCGUAGAUAUUCGGAAGAACACCAGUGGCGAAGGCGGCUCACUGGCCCAUUACCGACGCUCAGGCGCGACAGCGUGGGGAGCAAACAGGAUUAGAUACCCCAGGUAGUCCACGCCGUAAACGAUGGAUGCUAGCCCGUUGGUAAGCAUGCUUAUCAAGUGGCGCAGCUAACGCAUUAAGCAUCCCGCCUGGGGAAGUACGGGCCGAAAGGUUGAAACUUC
rnacentral:rRNA from 1 species